AUUGAACGCUGGCGGCAGGCCUAACACAUGCAAGUCGAACGAGUGGCGGACGUGUGAGUAAUGUCUGGGACACUGCCUGAUGGAGGGGGAUAUCCUAUGGACACGGUAUAUACUACCGCAUACCUUCAUCUGUGCCCAGAUGGGAUUAGCUUGUUGGUGGGGUAAGGGCUCACCAAGGCCACGAUCCCUAGCUGGUCUGAGAGGAUGACCAGCCACACUGGAACGGAGACACGGUCCAGACUCCGACGGGAGGCAGCAGUGGGGAAGAUUGCACAAUGGGCGCAAGCCUGAUGCAGCCAUGCCGCGUGUAUGAAGAAGGCCUUCGGGUUGUAAAGUACUUUCAGCGGGGAGGCGUUACCCGCAGAAGAAGCACCGGCUAACUCCGUGCCAGCAGCCGCGGUAAUUC
rnacentral:rRNA from 1 species